AUGGCUGCUCUGCUGGGUGCAAUGUUCACUGGACAGCCACCCGGCCCCCGGCCACCUCCGCAGGGACUACCCGGCCAGGCAGCGCCUGGCGCUGCUAGGAGUUCCAACAGUACCUUGGUGGACGAAUUGGAGUCAUCGUUUGAGGCUUGCUUUGCUUCUCUUGUGAGCCAGCACUAUGUCAGUGGCACUGAUCAGGAAGAAAUUCGAACUGGUGUCGAUCAGUGUAUCCGGAAGUUUCUGGACAUUGCAAGACAGACAGAAUAUUUUUUCCUACAAAAAAGAUUGCAGUUGUCUGUCCAGAAACCAGAGCAAGUUAUCAAAGAGGAUGUCUUGGAACUAAGGAAUGAAUUGCAGAGGAAAGAUGCACUGGUCCAGAAGCACCUAACAAAGCUGAGGCACUGGCAGCAGGUGCUGGAGGACAUCAAUGUGCAGCAUAAGAAGCCAGCUGACAUCCCUCAGGGCUCCUUGGCCUACCUUGAACAGGCAUCUGCCAAUAUCCCUGCACCUCUUAAGCAGACCUAAGGGCAGUUGGUCUGGCCUGCAAGUCA